AGGAGCGAGCGCGGCCACACAAAGCAGCUCGCUCCGAUCCUUCCUUAAUUUCUCCCGUCCGGGCCGGGAUGCAAUGCAUGGCCGGCAACGGCAACGGCAACUCCGUCGGUCGGAGCAUCGAUAUGGAUUCAUUCUCGGCGCAGUGAAAGAGCUAGGAGCGAAGACAACCCGGCCGGCCAACUGGUGGACCCACGCCAACGUUGCGUCACGUCAUUCAAACUUCAUUUGGAAAUUGAGGUGCGGGCCGUGCGGCUGAGGAGGUGUUGACUUUGCCAACAAUUGAGGGAAGGGUAAGGGGACUAAAAGGAGGAGGAGGAAGAGGAAAAGGGGAAGGCCAGAGGGGGUGCAGGAGGAAGAGCCACACGUACAGCAACCGGCAGCUAGACAUAGACGUACUUGUAGGCAUCUAGCUAGCUACCUAGGGUACUCCUCAAGGCCCCAGCUUGGUCUGCAGGUUGUCAUUGGCAUUGAUGCAUCAUGCAUGUACAUAUCGCUAUAGCUAGCGAUCUCAAAACUGUUGUGUGUGUACUGGUAUAUAUGUGGGCACAGGAAAGGUAAGGCUGUUGCUGCCGCUUCUGGUGGUGGUGUGUGUGUGGGCUAAUGAUAAAGGCAUUACUGUGAGGCCUUUGUCUAUAUGUGUGUGCAGUUAUUACUGUAGGGACAUGUGGGGAUCAGCUAUAGGGCCCGUACGCCUCUGAGCAUGGUCAGAUAUUUGUACACAUCUAUGCAUACAGUGCUAGAAAAUGACGAGAUAUUUGAUUAA